AUUGAACGCUGGCGGCAGGCCUAACACAUGCAAGUCGAGCGAGCGGCGGAGGGGUGAGUAAUGUCUGUGAAACUGCCUGAUGGGGGGGGAUAACUCCUGGAGACGGUAGCUAAUACCGCAUACCAUCAGAUGUGCCCCGAUGGGGUUAGCUAGUGGGUGGGGUAACGGCUCACCUAGGCGACGAUCCCUAGCUGGUCUGAGAGGAUGACCAGCCACACUGGAACUGAGACACGGUCCAGACUCCUACGGGAGGCAGCAGUGGGGAAUAUUGCACAAUGGGCGCAAGCCUGAUGCAGCCAUGCCGCGUGUAUGAAGAAGGCCUUCGGGUUGUAAAGUACUUUCAGCGGGGAGGCGUUACCCGCAGAAGAAGCACCGGCUAACUCCGUGCCAGCAGCCGCGGUAAUAC
rnacentral:rRNA from 1 species